GGCAGACGCUGACGACCGUGGCACCACCGGGGUAUAAUACUGAUACUGUUGUAUUGUACAUCAAUGCAAGCGACACCCUCGAGAUAUCUUCGCCAAACUAUCCCGGCAACUAUUCAGAUUACAUCGACAAGAAUUGGAUCCUCCACGCGGAGGAGAACCAGAAAAUCUACAUCACCUUUUCCAGUUUCGAAGCUGAUGAAUACUCCGCCUACUUUUCGGCGGGUGAUGGUGACAACAUUUACAGCAACCAGUUCUUCAAUUGGUACAGGUCGAAAGAACCUCCCGAUCUGAUCUCGGCUGGAAAUCAGAUUUGGUUGAGAUUCACGUCCUAUUCAAUUCCAGCGACAUCUGGAUUUGUGUUAUCUGCUUCAAGCAUCCCAGCGACUGAAAAUUUGACUUGUGCUGCGA